UACGUAGGGGGCAAGCGUUGUCCGGAUUCAUUGGGCGUAAAGCGCGCGUAGGCGGCUCCGCAAGUCGGCCGUGAAAUCUCCGGGCUCAACUCGGAGGGGUCGGGCGAGACUGCGGGGCUCGAGGUGGGCAGAGGGCAGUGGAAUUCCGGGUGUAGUGGUGGAAUGCGUAGAGAUCCGGAGGAACACCAGUGGCGAAGGCGGCUGCCUGGGCCUGGCCUGACGCUGAGGCGCGAAAGCUAGGGGAGCAAACGGG
rnacentral:rRNA from 1 species